GGGGAGAGGCUGAAGUUAUCAUAACGGGGCGGUCUUGAAAACCGUUAGGGGGCAACCCCACGCAGGUUCGAAUCCUGUCCUC
rfam:Tumebacillus flagellatus strain GST4 Contig058, whole genome shotgun sequence.